rnacentral:rRNA from 1 species
AGAGUUUGAUCCUGGCUCAGAACGAACGCUGGCGGCGUGGAUAAGACAUGCAAGUCGGACGGGACUGUUCGUGUAGCAAUACAUGGACAGUUCAGUGGCGAACGGGUGCGUAACACGUGAGCAACCUGCCGUGAAGUGGGGGAUAGCUCGCCGAAAGGCGAAUUAAUACCGCAUGUGGCCAGGAAGGACAUCCUUCCGACGCCAAAGCCGGGGUAACCUGGCGCUUCCCGAGGGGCUCGCGGCCUAUCAGCUUGUUGGUGAGGUAAUGGCUCACCAAGGCUUUGACGGGUAGCUGGUCUGAGAGGACGACCAGCCACACUGGAACUGAGACACGGUCCAGACACCUACGGGUGGCAGCAGUCGAGAAUUUUUCACAAUGGGGGAAACCCUGAUGGAGCGACGCCGCGUGGAGGAUGAAGGUUUUCGGAUUGUAAACUCCUGUCAUUAGAGAACAAGACGCACGGCCUAACUGCCCGUGCGUUGAUAGUAUCUGAAGAGGAAGAGACGGCUAACUCUGUGCCAGCAGCCGCGGUAAUACAGAGGUCUCAAGCGUUGUUCGGAUUCAUUGGGCGUAAAGGGUGCGUAGGUGGCGAUGUAAGUCGGAUGUGAAAUCUCCAAGCUCAACUUGGAAACUGCAUUCGAUACUGCGUCGCUCGAGGAUUGUAGAGGGCAUUGGAAUUCACGGUGUAGCAGUGAAAUGCGUAGAUAUCGUGAGGAAGACCAGUGGCGAAGGCGAAUGCCUGGGCAAUUCCUGACACUGAGGCACGAAGGCCAGGGGAGCGAACGGGAUUAGAUACCCCGGUAGUCCUGGCAGUAAACGGUGCACGUUUGGUGUGGGAGGAUUCGACCCCUUCCGUGCCGGAGCUAACGCGUUAAACGUGCCGCCUGGGGAGUACGGUCGCAAGAUUAAAACUCAAAGAAAUUGACGGGGGCCCGCACAAGCGGUGGAGUAUGUGGCUUAAUUCGAUGCAACGCGAAGAACCUUACCUGGCCUUGACAUGCAUCUCUAAACCGGUGAAAGCCGGCGAGUGUAGCAAUACACAAUUUGCACAGGUGCUGCAUGGCUGUCGUCAGCUCGUGUCGUGAGAUGUUGGGUUAAGUCCCGCAACGAGCGCAACCCCUGUGAACUGUUGCCAUGGAGACGUGAGUCUCCGGCACUCUGUUCAGACUGCCCUGUUCAACGGGGAGGAAGGUGGGGACGACGUCAAGUCAGUAUGGCCCUUACGGCCAGGGCUGCACACGUACUACAAUGCCCGGCACAGAAUGAUCCGAGACCGCGAGGUGGAGGAAAUCCCUAAAGCCGGGCCCAGUUCGGAUUGGAGGCUGCAACUCGCCUCCAUGAAGCCGGAAUCGCUAGUAAUGGCGCAUCAGCUACGGCGCCGUGAAUACGUUCCCGGGCCUUGUACACACCGCCCGUCACAUCAUGGGAGUCGUUUGUACCCGAAGUGCGCGCGCCAACCCGCAAGGGAGGCAGCGCCCUAAGGUAUGAGCGGUAACUGGGAUGAAGUCGUAACAAGGUAGCCGUAGGGGAACCUGCGGCUGGAUCACCUCCUU